UACGAAGGACCCAAGCGUUAUCCGGAUUUAUUGGGUUUAAAGGGUGCGUAGGUGGAAUAGUAAGUCAGUGGUGAAAGCCUGCAGCUUAACUGCAGAACUGCCAUUGAUACUGCUAAUCUUGAGUGUAUUUGAUGUGGGCGGAAUGUGCCAUGUAGUGGUGAAAUACUUAGAUAUGGCACAGAACACCGAUUGCGAAGGCAGCUCACAAAACUACAACUGACACUGAGGCACGAAAGCGUGGGUAGCAAACAGG
rnacentral:rRNA from 1 species